AGUGCUCGCUCAGACAUCGUGCCGAGAGGACGUGCGCCGCGGACUCUUGUAGUGAACCAUAGUGAAACGCGGCGUGUGAAAAACCUAGACGUUCAUACCGUGUUAUUAGUUUUUUUUUCCCCCUUCCUUUACCCUACGCUCCUUUCCCUUUUUACCCUCUUUUUUCCCUCCUCGUCAAGGCAAGAAUGAAACAACCAUUUAAGUGUUAAGAAAACAAGAAAAAUACAUCAAGAAGUGAAGAAAAAAACACACCAUGUACAUUACAAUGUAUAAAAAAAAAGACAAUAAGUGAAAAAAAAAAUAUAUGCAAGUGAGUCAAACAAAUUGAAAAAAAAUAGUACAGUAGAAAGUAGAAAAGAAAAACGAGACAAAAAAAUAACAAAACUGAUAAAAGGCUAUAUAACUGAAAAAAAAAAGGUAAUGAAAGAUACAUAAAAAAAAUGAAAAGUACCAUAAAAAUCGAAAAAAAAAGUGAAUGAAACGAAAAGUGACGUACGUGGCGUGAGUGAAUGGCGGCGGGAGUGACCACCGUGACUUCAGUGUGACCUCUGGGCGGGCAGACACGUCAUGUUCGGCUCGUGGGUCUCCCUGGUGGCGGUGGCGGCUGCUGUGGCUCUGCUCCCCACAGGUAAGUGAAGACCACGCCCACUUGUGCAAGUUACUCUCAAAACUCCGUUUUCUUUAAUUUCCAACAAAAAUACGUUUUCUCUCACUGCUUUGUGCUUAUCUUUCUCUCGGAAUCUCGUUUUCUAUGCAUAUUCUUAACUUAUCAUUUCAGUCGUUAUUAUUAUUAUUUUUUAUUUGCUAUUGACAUUUACACUAAGGAAUUUAUAAGAUAAUUUGUUUUGGCAUUAACGUAUUCCUGUUCGUUGUUAUAGGAGGAGAUAGGGAGCUAUGUUUCAUACAGAGACCACCAAGAGUGGGCCUGUUGGCUUCUUGCAGCUUCCCUUAAUUUCGUAUGUGCUUUAUUUUAACACUAACACUUUCCUGCACUGGACACACACACACACACACACACACACACACACACACACACACACACACACACACACACACACACACACACACACACACACACACACACACAC